GUGCUUGUUUCAGCAGCACAUGUACUAAAAUUGGAACGAUACAGAAAUUAGCAUGGUCCCUGCUCAAAGAUGACGUGAAAAUUCAUGAAGCAUUCCACGUUUUA
ensembl:snRNA U6 U6 spliceosomal RNA